GUUACCAGACAUCCAUUCCCCUCUGCUGUGUGGCUGCAGCUGUGGUCACCCGUCAGCAUUGGUCUCUGCUUGACAGGAGCUAUUAUGAGUUUUAGAAAAUGCAGCUGGAUGACAUCAUCACAGUGCCACUGAGCACACCAGCAGCAACACCUGGGAUGAAGCAGUGUUGAGAAGGGCAUGUCCCCAUGCAGGUGAGCACCAGGUGAGUCUGGUGUGGGGCAGCAGGCUGCAGCUCCAGAGACAUGGCUCAGACACACUGCUGCCCCUGUGUCCCUUCAUCUUUCCCAGAUUGUUUAUCCCUGUGCCCAUUGACAGUCUGGAGGGACCAGAACAUUUCAGGAUCACUGCUGCUUCCUCACUCUGUCCCACCCAUUGCCCACUGUGUUGGGAUCCUGGCUGUGUUGGGAUCACCUUUGCUGGUGAUUCUUUAAGUGACCUUAAAACAGUCCUUCAUGACAUGUGUCGCAAUGUCUUGGAGGUCCUGGGUGGUAGUGGGAUGCACUGAGUGCUGUUGUGUGGCCAUUUUUGGGGAUGGAGCAGCAGUUCAGAGCCCAUGGGGACACAAAGGGGUCCCAAGCUGGGAUGGGUGUCCCUCAGGAAGGGUCUGUGAUGCUGGCACUGGAGCCAUCCCAGACCUGCUGGGCUCUGCAGGCGUGGAGCUCUUUGCCAGCACCAGGCCUGUGCUAUUAUGGGCAAAUAACCUGCAGAAUGCUUUUUUAAUCUUGAGAGAAAUAACUUGAUUAGUAAUUAUUGGUGCAGAACACUUGGGGAGUCUCUGCAGAGGGAGAGGACAGGCUGUUUCACUGGAGCUGCCUGUCAGUUUUGUCACCUAAUUAUAAGACUGUUCUGUGCCAAGACUCGGGACAGACAGGAAAAAACCCUCAGUGUAAUUGUAUUGGUCAUAUUUUAUAGCCACUAAUUACUUGCUUCGCAAUUAGCAUUUCUCUGGCUGGCUGAGGAGCUGUCACAGCCCUGGCUCAUGAUACAUAGCUCAGUGCUUCCCAUGGCACAGCUUCCCAGGGCUGGCAGGGAAGGGGGCUCAGGCCCUGUGUCUGCAGCCCAACAGCACAGGAGGGAAAGGGAGGCUGACUGUCACUGGGGUGCGGGUGAGGGAUGUGAUGGUGUCCAUAUCUGGGACAAGAUGCUGGGUCUGGGCUUGAUGGCUCCACCUGAGCUCAGUGUGAUCAUGAAUCAAAAUUCUGAUGUGAACUUUAGCUGCAUCCAUAAGCUCUUCAUUUAUCAUUAUUAAAGAUAUGUCAAUGUUCAAACUCUGGUUUACAGCUGUAAAUUUAUAUUGUAUGUUGUCUCUGAUACAGUAUUCUUGUCCAAAGCCCAUCAGGCAGUUUUCUACUUAUUAGGAAUUAAUGACUCAUAAAACAGAGCCAGAACAGGCUGUUGGUGUGAAUGAAGGGAAUGCUGUGGCUAUUGGGUUUCCCUCCUGAAGAAUUAUGAAGGGACCCCAAUUAGCAGGUAAUUGGGUCAAUCCACCCUCUGAGCAGGUCCUGGGCUGAGCUGUGAGUUGCAGAGGAUCCUGGCCCUCUGUGGGAUGUGGGGGCUCAGCCAUCCCAGCCCUGUCAGGCUGCACUGCCAGGUACUCUCCUCUUACAUCUUACAAUACAUAUGUUAACCCUCUGGUUCUCUCUGCACUGGCAAAUCUUCAAAAUCCUUCACCUCCAGGAAAGACCAUCUGCUGCUGCAGCACCAUAAAAACAGCUUUUGGCAAGCGAAAACUUCAGUUUAUCAUUUUAAUUCAGCCCAAUGCCAAAAGUUCUGUAAUUUAUUGUGCCUUUUGCAAGGUUUUUCUCUAAGUGUCUGUAUGGUUGGUGUUUGUUUGGGACGUUUUAGGGAUCUUAUGUUUGUGUGAGUGUCUCAGGGUUGUCAUGACAUGGCGAGAGAACUUGUCUGGUCUGAAACUGCCCUGGGCUGCUGUGCUGACACUCUUCC